rnacentral:rRNA from 1 species
GUAGGUGGCAAGCGUUGUCCGGAAUUAUUGGGCGUAAAGCGCGCGCAGGCGGUUCUUUAAGUCUGAUGUGAAAGCCCACGGGCUCAACCGUGGAGGGUCAUUGGAAACUGGAGAACUUGAGUACAGAAGAGGAAAGCGGAAUUCCACGUGUAGCGGUGAAAUGCGUAGAGAUGUGGAGGAACACCAGUGGCGAAGGCGGCUUUCUGGUCUGUAACUGACGCUGAGGCGCGAAAGCGUGGGGAGCAAACGGGAUUAGAUACCCUGGUAGUCCACGCCGUAAACGAUGAGUGCUAAGUGUUAGGGGGUUUCCGCCCCUUAGCGCUGCAGCUAACGCAUUAAGCACUCCGCCUGGGGAGUACGGCCGCAAAGGCUG